rnacentral:rRNA from 1 species
UACGGAGGGUGCGAGCGUUGUUCGGAUUCAUUGGGCGUAAAGGGGGCCUAGGCGGCACGGUAAGUCGGAUGUGAAAUCCCACGGCUCACCCGUGGAACUGCGUUCGAAACUGCCAUGCUUGAGUAUGGGAGAGGAGAGUGGAAUUCUCAGUGUAGCGGUGGAAUGCGUAGAUAUUGAGAAGAACACCGGUGGCGAAGGCGACUCUCUGGCCCAAUACUGACGCUGAAGCCCGAAAGCCAGGGGAGCGAACGGGAUUAGAUACCCUCGUA